CUUUCUGUCUGCCUGCGUGCCAGGCAGCGCACCGUCACCUACGUGACAAUAUUCGUGUGCGUUCAAAUGG
rnacentral:lncRNA from 1 species